GACGAACGCUGGCGGCGUGCUUAACACAUGCAAGUCGAACGGAAAGGCCCUGCUUUUGUGGGGUUCUCGAGUGGCGAACGGGUGAGUAACACGUGAGUAACCUGCCCUUGACUUUGGUAUAACUUCAGGAAACUGGGGCUAAUACCGGAUAGGAGCUCCUGCUGCAUGGUGGGGGUUGGAAAGUUUCGGCGGUUGGGGAUGGACUCGCGGCUUAUCAGCUUGUUGGUGGGGUAGUGGCUUACCAAGGCUUUGACGGGUAGCCGGCCUGAGAGGGUGACCGGCCACAUUGGGACUGAGAUACGGCCCAGACUCCUACGGGAGGCAGCAGUGGGGAAUAUUGUACAAUGGGCGGAAGCCUGAUGCAGCAACGCCGCGUGCGGGAUGACGGCCUUCGGUUUGUAAACCGCUUUCGCCUGUGACGAAGCGUGAGUGACGGUAAUGGGUAAAGAAGCACCGGCUAACUACGUG
rnacentral:rRNA from 1 species